rnacentral:rRNA from 1 species
UGGGGAAUUUUGGACAAUGGGCGAAAGCCUGAUCCAGCCAUUCCGCGUGCAGGAUGAAGGCCCUCGGGUUGUAAACUGCUUUUGUACAGAACGAAAAGGUCUCUAUUAAUACUAGGGGCUCAUGACGGUACUGUAAGAAUAAGCACCGGCUAACUACGUGCCAGCAGCCGCGGUAAUACGUAGGGUGCAAGCGUUAAUCGGAAUUACUGGGCGUAAAGCGUGCGCAGGCGGUUAUAUAAGUCAGAUGUGAAAUCCCCGGGCUCAACCUGGGAACUGCAUUUGAGACUGUAUAGCUAGAGUACGGUAGAGGGGGAUGGAAUUCCGCGUGUAGCAGUGAAAUGCGUAGAUAUGCGGAGGAACACCGAUGGCGAAGGCAAUCCCCUGGACCUGUACUGACGCUCAUGCACGAAAGCGUGGGUAGCAAACGGGAUUAGAUACCCUGGUAGUCCACGCCCUAAACGAUGUCAACUGGUUGUUGGGUCUUAACUGACUCAGUAACGAAGCUAACGCGUGAAGUUGACCGCCUGGGGAGUACGGCCGCAAGGUUG